UUAGACUGUGAUAGCUGAGAUUAGAGWGCUUUUGCAUGUGCUGUCUUUUAAGCAUUAAAGCUGCUGUAUCCAGAGCUGGGCAGUGAAAGGAAUGUAUAAAUAUAUCCAGCAAAUGGAGCACACCAUUGCCAUAGAUUUCUAGAUGCUACUAAAAUACAAUUCCGGGGGCUGUUGUACUGGCAAAGCGUUCUGGAUCCAUUUUAAAGAAGACAGGGAUGGAUGUGGUGAUACUUCUGGCCUCCUAAGGAAUGGGAGCCUGAACCUUAAAAUUUUCUUCAGCCUUCAAGUAUCACUUUACCUGGUUUGUUACUAAUUGAAAAUGACUUCUGCUGGAAGAUUUGUCAUCAGUUUUCUGCAAGUGAAUCCAAACUGCAUACCUGCUGGACAACUGCCAAGGUAUUUAUCUGUUUCUCUUUGGAGCUCUGGCCAGGUUUACUUUUU
ensembl:lncRNA